rnacentral:lncRNA from 1 species
AUAGCCUUGCUGCUAGAGGCUCAGGCCACUGUUGACAUCAAGGACAGCAAUGGCAUGCGCCCGCUGCACUACGCAGCCUGGCAGGGCCGGCUGGAGCCUGUGAGGCUGCUGCUGCGCGCCUCUGCGGCUGUCAAUGCCGCCUCGCUGGACGGACAGAUCCCCCUGCACCUGGCUGCACAGUAUGGACAUUAUGAGGUGUCAGAAAUGCUCCUCCAGCAUCAGUCCAACCCAUGCCUGGUCAACAAGGCCAAGAAGACGCCCCUGGACCUGGCCUGUGAAUUUGGCCGACUCAAGGUGAGGCCUGCAGCCUUGGGGUGCUGGGUCCUGGACAUCUACAGGGUCUCAGGAGG